GGAGCCGUGCAAAUUCAUCCCCUCCUACAAUGCAAUCUCUCCGCUUCCUAAGACCCGUGUAAAAGAGAUUUCAGCAGAGUCCUGUCCCACACCUCCAGCUUCCGCUGUCCCAUCCUGCUGCCAGCACUGGCGAGGGAUCUACCGCUGUUAAUUCCUGUCACCAAUUUCUUCAUCUGCAGAGAAAACAUGUUCCACCUCCUGCUGUUCUGCGGCAAAAAGUGCAUUGCAGGCAGUGAGCUGCCAAUAUUACUUGCUGCUGUCGAUUGAAAAGGGUUGCACUCAUUAUACUGGGUUCAGACUGCGGAGUACUCAGCUAUCAUGUCUGACAUGAUUUAGAGCUACAGCAUGAAAUACAAUUUCCUUCAUUCUGGCUCAUUUUCUGCCUUAUCUUCAGUGGAAUUUGGACUACAGUGGCUUCCCAAACAGACAAGGUGCUGUGCAAACACUUCUUUCCUGAAAGAGCUUAUAUUCAGAAAGGCAGAAGACAGCGUGUAAGAAAGCAGCCUGCUGGACAAAUUCCCCAAAAUCAUGAAGGCUGUGUCACCCAUUAAUACACUGUUUUGUAUUAUUCAUGAGUCUUUUUAAUGUUUUCACUGGUCAAAGUUGUUCUUCUCCCUUACUCUUUGUGCACACCACUCUCCAGGACCCCCAACUAUGCAGUUGCUCAUCAUCAUUAUGCAGGGUUUUUUGCACACAAACAUGCUUACAUCAAAAUAGCAGUUCAUGGGACAUGGUCUUUCCUGAGAUCAGGAAGCAAAAGGGACAAACCAUCCAACUUUAAAAUAUAUUGUUCAUUUAAUGAUUGCUCAAAACACCAGAGCUUGGAAAUGUCCAACAUAUUGUAAGUGUCACAGGCCUAAAUAAGGUGGAACUGAUCAGAAAUAAAAUCUUGCAAAACAUACAGAAAGACGUUGGUAAGCAAUGGGGGAUUUCCCAUUACUCUGUCCAUCAAGAAGAGCAACUGG